UACAGAGGAGCCAAGCGUUGUCCGGAUUGACUGGGCGUAAAGCGCACGCAGGCGGACGCGCGCGUGGGGUGUGAAAUCUGGCCGCUUAACGGCCAGGCGCCAUCCCAUACGGCGUGUCUGGAGUGAUGCAGAGGUCGAUGGAAUUGCCGGUGUAGUGGUGAAAUGCGUAGAGAUCGGCAGGAACACCCAGGGGGGAAACCAGUCGACUGGGCAUCUACUGACGCUGAGGUGCGAGAGCGUGGGGAGCGAACCGGAUAGAAACCC
rnacentral:rRNA from 1 species